rnacentral:tRNA from 1 species
AAGAAGGUGGCAGAGUGGCUAUGUGGUUGGCUUGAAACUAGCCUACGGGGGUUCAAUUCCCUCCCUUCUUG